GCCCCAGCCCAAUCUAUGUCGAUCUGUUAAGCACGAUGAGAAAAGUUGCUUCCCUUCUGAUCGUUUCAAUAGAGAACUUGAGUGUAGUGCGAACAUUCUUCUCACAUUGCUAUGGGAGCUUGAAGUGCAAAACAUAUAUGAGCCGGUACAAUUCUUCCACUUGAGAAUUGCUUUAAGGAUUUUCGUAAUUAUGUUGGGAUCGCUCAUUUUCAAUUAGUCCCAAAUUAAUGGUUAUAGAAUUUUGGCCUCUCUGAGGUCUCUCUAUCACUUGAUGGGAUGAGAAGGCCCUUCUCCCAACGAAAUCACAUGUUUGUAUAUAAUAAAAGAGACCCCUCCAAGAAAAUACUUCUCGGGAGGUUUUUAUUAUCUUGAGGCUUACUUUGACGACUAAAAAAUUGUCGUCAGACUCCCCAACAAGAAAUAAAUUAUGGACAAGUUUUUUGGAUGAGUGACUUCCACCCUAUCAACCACACUUCAUUCUGAAAAAUUCCGCUUACUGAAACCUGUUCCCACCGAAGCUAUUGAGAGGCGUCAUCAGUAACUUGUAAAUUUACCAUAUGGGAUGAGGGUUGUAGACUUCCUUUUGCAAUUGACAUAUUUAAGGAAUUAUGGUCUACUCGAGAAAGACCAAUCUACCAUGGAUGAGUUCAGGAAGUAUGCAACUUGGGAUUCAGUGCCCGCUCCCUCGAAGAAAAAGAGCAAGAUUAUGCCGCCCAACGGAAUAUAAUGACUUCUUCCGUUCAGAUCUCUAGCCCUUGAUUCCUUUCUGUAGCAGAGCAUCUGAACCUGGAUCUCUUUCUCUCCUUCCUUUAUGUUGAUUCUCCUUCUUGUUGGUUGGAUUCUUCACAAUCUUCCACGAUUGAGAUACCACUUGAUGUGUGUGGGCACCACUCUUAUUUACUAGGGUAUUUCGAAAAUUGAAGAGAAGAAAAGAGAAGAGAUGGGCGACUAUGGCUUUCUCUGAAAGGAACAAUAUGCAAGUC